rnacentral:rRNA from 1 species
GAUGAACGCUAGCUACAGGCUUAACACAUGCAAGUCGAUGGCGACCGGCGCACGGGUGAGUAACGCGUAUCCAACCUGCCCACCACUUGGGGAUAACCUUGCGAAAGUAAGACUAAUACCCAAUGAUAUCCCAUGAAGGCAUCCGAAUGGGAUUAAAGAUUUAUCGGUGAUGGAUGGGGAUGCGUCUGAUUAGCUUGUUGGCGGGGUAACGGCCCACCAAGGCAACGAUCAGUAGGGGUUCUGAGAGGAAGGUCCCCCACAUUGGAACUGAGACACGGUCCAAACUCCUACGGGAGGCAGCAGUGAGGAAUAUUGGUCAAUGGGCGAGAGCCUGAACCAGCCAAGUAGCGUGCAGGACGACGGCCCUAUGGGUUGUAAACUGCUUUUAUAAGGGAAUAAAGUGAGUCUCGUGAGACUUUUUGCAUGUACCUUAUGAAUAAGGACCGGCUAAUUCCGUG